ACUCAAAUGAAUAGACGGGGACCCGCACAAGCGGAGGAGCGCGUGGUUUAAUUCGACGGCAAUCGAAGAACCUUACCAGGGUUUGAAAUGUAUCUGCAUGCCCCUAGAAAUAGGGGAGGCUUUCGAAGGUGAUACACAGGUGCUGCAUGGCCGUCGUCAGCUCGUGUCGUGAGAUGUUGGGUUAAGUCCCGAAACGAGCGCAACCCCUAUCCUAUGUUACAAGUGUCUUAGGAAACUGCCUCGGUAAAACGGGGAGGAAGGUGGGGAUGACGUCUGGUCCGCAUAGCCCUUAUGUCCUGGGCGACACACGCGCUACAAUGGCCGAUACAAUGGGAAGCCAAAUCGUAAGAUGGAGCAAAUCCUAUAAAGUCGGUCUCAGUUCGGAUUGAGGUCUGAAACUCGACCUCAUGAAGUUGGAUUCGCUAGUAAUCGUGGAUCAGCCAUGCCACGGUGAAUACGUUCUCGGGUCUUGCACACACCGCCCGU
rnacentral:rRNA from 1 species